UUAAAGUACUUAACUGGAACUAAGGAUGUGAUCAUAUUCAUGGUGGGUCUAAAUUAAAACUAGAGGGCUUAACAGACUCAAGUUUUUCAGACAGACCAAGACGACAGAAAAUCCAUUUUAAGGUAAAAGGUUACCUUGAACAAUGGUGCAGUGAAUUGGAAAGGUUCUAAACAUCAAAGAGUUGCUGGUUUUGUGAUAAAGACAAAGUAUAUAGCUAUAAAUGAAGCUGCAAGUUGAUUGUUU
rnacentral:lncRNA from 1 species